rnacentral:rRNA from 1 species
UAGGGAAUAUUGGACAAUGGGGGCAACCCUGAUCCAGCCAUGCCGCGUGAGUGAAGAAGGCCCUCGGGUUGUAAAGCUCUUUUGUCCGGAAAGAAAAGCAUUCGGUGAAUACCCGGAUGUUCUGACGGUACCGGAGGAAUAAGCACCGGCUAACUUCGUGCCAGCAGCCGCGGUAAUACGAAGGGUGCAAGCGUUACUCGGAAUUACUGGGCGUAAAGCGUGCGUAGGUGGUUGUUUAAGUCUGAUGUGAAAGCCCUGGGCUCAACCUGGGAAUGGCAUUGGAAACUGGGCAGCUAGAGUGCGGUAGAGGGUAGUGGAAUUCCCGGUGUAGCAGUGAAAUGCGUAGAGAUCGGGAGGAACAUCUGUGGCGAAGGCGACCGCCUGGACCAGCACUGACACUGAGGCACGAAAGCGUGGGGAGCAAACA